UGAUGAACCAUCUUCACAUUCAAGUGAGGAGACCAACAUUUGAUUGAGGCAUCAAGAGAUGGGAGGGUCGUCAUGGCCACCUCUUGGCUGUUGGAGGCGGUUGUCUUGACGACCCGGUUCAGCAGAUCCUAGACCUAGAGGAGCAUCAAUGCGUUUCGAGGGACCCGAACUUCAGAGUGAGAGGCCAGGACCAGGUAGAUCUACCUGAAGACCCCCACCUCUCCGUCAGGUGGGCAGCGGCCCACGGCUCCACCCCACCAAGUUGACUCAACCCUACCAACGUCUUCCAGUCUGGAGCAGACAACCUGACCCAACCUGCGCCACCCAGAAUGAAAGCCCCAGAAGUCCCCAGGGAUGAGGAGAUGCUAAGUUACUGGGAGGAGGGUCCCCCUGGGCAGUCCUUAUCAUGGUUUACUCCUCUUCCUCGGAUUGAGUUAGUGUUGUCCUUAUAAGGGCUUGGUGGGUGCUGUCUCUUUUCUGAAGGCGGGACAUCUGAAGGGAUGUCUAGCCAAUUAAAUAGCUUUAUCUGAAUAGAAGAUGGAAAACCAUCUCUUGUAAGUCUCUAUUUACUUUUUUGGUUACUUUUCAAUGUUCUCAGCACCUCUGCUGAAUGUAACUUUGUAGCAGAUAGACGAUUAUCGUUUUUUUCAGUCAGCAAAUGUUACUGUAAUGUUACUGUAAGUUGUGUUUUUCAUGUGUGAAUAAAAUGCUUGACUUAAAAA